rnacentral:rRNA from 1 species
AGACUUUGAUUCUGGCUCAGGAUGAACGCUAGCGGCAGGCCUAACACAUGCAAGUCGAGGGGUAUUCGGUUUUCGGACCGGAGAGACCGGCGCACGGGUGCGUAACGCGUAUGCAAUCUACCUUUAGCAGGGGAAUAGCCCGGAGAAAUUCGGAUUAAUGCCCCAUAGUAUUUGAUACCUGCAUGGGUAUUAAAUUAAAGCCACGGCGGCUAGAGAUGAGCAUGCGUCCUAUUAGCUAGUUGGAGAGGUAACGGCUCCCCAAGGCGACGAUAGGUAGGGGUCCUGAGAGGGAGAUCCCCCACACUGGUACUGAGACACGGACCAGACUCCUACGGGAGGCAGCAGUGAGGAAUAUUGGACAAUGGGCGGAAGCCUGAUCCAGCCAUGCCGCGUGCAGGAAGACGGCCCUAUGGGUUGUAAACUGCUUUUAUACAGGAAGAAUAACCAUCUUGCGAGGUGGGAUGCCGGUACUGUAUGAAUAAGCAUCGGCUAACUCCGUGCCAGCAGCCGCGGUAAUACGGAGGAUGCGAGCGUUAUCCGGAAUCAUUGGGUUUAAAGGGUCCGUAGGCGGUUGUGUAAGUCAGUGGUGAAAUCUUUUCAGCUCAACUGAAAAUGGCCCAUUGAAACUGCAUAACUUGAGUUACUGUGAAGUAAGUA